GAUACAUACAUAUUUAUGUUAAAUAUAUAUACAUAUAUACUCUAAUACAUACAUGCGUAUGCAUUUACAUGUAUGUAUUAAUUCCCUAAAUUAACGGGUAUGAAGGUGUGAAACCUGAGCAUAUGGAAAGAGAGGUUCAUCCAGUAUUUUGCACACAACAGUGAUCACAGCCAUCAAGAUGAAGCAGCACCUUGAGAACUCUGAGUACAAGGUGAAAUGAUGUGUGCAGUACUUUGAUACACUAUUCCUUUCCAUCCAUCCGUCUUUGGACUUCUCUGUUUCUCUUGAUGCAGUUCCAAUAUCUAAAGAUGAAGAUGUUUCCUUUGCACCAUUAUGGAAGAGGAGUGAGAAAGCAGUUCCCCAUCCCUCUUCAAUGGAGAUGCACCUGAUAAGCUUUCAGUGGAGACUUCUUUCAGUCAUCCAGCAGUCCCCACUGCAUCACUCAACUUCUGCCUGUGCCACUGGUCUCAUCAUUAAAAGGACAGGCCGAGAGACAUAGUGAA
rnacentral:lncRNA from 1 species